UCUUACCUACGGGGGGCAGCAGUGGGGAAUAUUGCACAAUGGGGGAAACCCUGAUGCAGCAACGCCGCGUGAGUGAAGAAGUAUUUCGGUAUGUAAAGCUCUAUCAGCAGGGAAGAGAAUGACGGUACCUGACUAAGAGGCCCCGGCUAACUACGUGCCAGCAGCCGCGGUAAUACGUAGGGGGCAAGCGUUAUCCGGAUUUACUGGGUGUAAAGGGAGCGUGGAAGGCUGUACAAGUCUGAAGUGAAAGCCCGUGGCUUAACGGCGGAACUGCUU
rnacentral:rRNA from 1 species